AUGUAUAUAUAAUGAGGCACAGUUCCCUGCGCCACCAUGCGGCCGCGUGGGUGCACUGCACCUGAAAAACUGGCACUACCGGUUUCAACCAAUCAUAGACGUCGAUUUCGGUCACGAGGUGCGUUGUUUCUAGAUGGGUCCGGUCGCCAUCUUUGUUGGCUAGUGUUUUGACUUGGGUUCUCGAGUUUUCGCCGAAAUUUGACUGAAAUUGACUCAUUCGAAGUCCAACGUCGGUGGAGAUCUAUGCCGCAAGUUCAGAAGAGGCUUUUGACGGUUUCUUCGGUUACUACAUCGGUAAAAACCCUAAAAAUACCCGGUUGGAUCGAUUGUACUACCUUCCGUGGGUCAGAUAUCACCAUCGUAUUUUUUUGUGUCGGCCAGGAGGUCGAUAAAAAAAGGGUUGGGGACACCUCCAGUACGGUCUGGGCUUACACCGAUGAGAUGGUUGGUCAGGGUGGAGCGAAGCCUCUUCACAGGAUCUGCUAUGCCACAUGUUGUCCUGGAGAUGUUGUUGAACUGAGCAUGAACUUGCUCUAAACCCUGUUCUCCCAGGAACCCCAAACCAAACUUCCACUUCCGGACACAAGGCACAACGUGGUACUCCAACAUGUGCAUCUUCACAGGUGCUGGACUGUGCUGCAGCCAGCCUGGAACACGGCCUCUGCCCUCUCAUCAUCAUCAUCACCAUCGCUGUACGCCAGCCACGCCAGCUUGUUCUCCUCCUCCUCCAGUUCCUCCUCGAGAGCGUCGGCUUUCACAUCCAGCUCCCGGGCUUCAUCGAUGGCAGCCACAUAUGCCUUGAACUUCCCAAGGUGCUCAUCGUUCAGCAGUUCCUCCUUAGUGAUGUCACCUUCCUCCAGGACUGCUGCCAGGUUGUCAAAGAUGGCGUCCUUGAGUGAUUCAACGUAGGCGCAAGGCAGAAGCUGUACUGUGCUGUCUGUUUUCCCCUUCACAGAAAAUGCAGGUGCCCUGUAGGGAUGCGGACCCUGUCCAGCUUCAGCUCUUGCAGCAUCCUCUGCAGCUCAUCCCGAGGAUGGAUUCGCAGUUCCUCCUUCAUCAGUGCUGCGGAGUCCCCACCACUGACCUCGGCCCUCACAUCCUGCAUCAGUUUUGCCCGUUUCCUG